AUAAAAAAUAAAGUGAAUAAAAGUCAUGUAUCAACAGUCUUUACAACAUGGACAGUUAAACCUUUUGUAAUUUAAUUAAAACAACAAAAGAGAAAACAAGCAGAUUGAGAUGUCCUUCAACGAUGCUUGAUGACGUGGCAGCCGAGACAUGCAGCAUUCUAGGACGCAGCCUUAUUAAAAAUAAAAAAAAAUGGACACAGCCUUAUUUAUUUUUAUUUUAUAUAUGUAUAAUGUACCCCCUGACUGAACUUGUAUUUCUUAUUAUUUAAAAAAAAUAUAUUAAAAAUAUUUUUAAAAGAACGCAGCUGUGCGUUUGAGAAACGACCGGAAACGACUUAUAUGUCGCGAGGCCAUCACGUGACCACAAUAUUUACCAGAAGACCGUUAUUUGCUCGAGUUCCCUCAACUUUUUUGUCGCAAAUAACAUUAUUAAUAACCUGUAAAUAAUAAAAUUUGUACACAUUACGUUCCUUUUCACGUUGUAAUAGUAUGUUUUUGGUUUAAUAGUCGGCUUUAAGUUAGUUUUUCUGUCAGUUUGAUCGUCAAAAUCUUGAAAGUUAUCUACAGCCACACAUCCACUGUAUACCAAGUUAUGAUGAUCAAUUAUGAGAAUGCAAAAUGAUUUAUAGAUCAGUAAACAAUCAACAAAAAGGUAAUGUCUUAAUUAAUAUAUUUCUGCUUUUGUUACUUAUUCAUGUAUUUGAAUUACAUCAUUCAAAAUCAAAUGUUAAUAAUUAUAGGGUUUCAACUUGUUGCAGCUUUACAAAAAAUGUAGAAUUUGUAGGAGCAUGGACAACUGAGUAACAAAGUCAUAUUAUGCAGAUGGGUGCUCAUGGUGGCCUCCAAAUAAAUACAUGGACAGGCUGCUAAAGAGGGUCAGGAUGAUGGAGAUGAAAGAGCCAAAGACAGCACGGACCAAACACCAGGCCAGAAUUCUGCAUGAGUCAGUUUCCAGCCUUUUUCACAAAGUUGCCGACAACUGGAAGAAUGUCCCAAAUUGCUGAAAAAAGAAAUUCAAUUGAGUAAUUUUCACUCUAGAGAACCUGGGGUGACCACCAAGGACGAAUGAAAACUCCAGUGAGUGUCUCUAAGGUAGAUCCUAAUGCAGAUGGAUGGAAUGUUGAUCCGCCUAACAUGCAAGGUAAAAGAGCAUUUGAUAGCAUAGUGGAUAAACAAAUAGCUUUUUUUCAUUUUCACAGCAUUUUCAAAAACAACAUAACACUUGCUAUUACAUUGUUAUAUAUUACAUGACAAUGUCUAACUCUGAUCCAUACAAAACAGAUUUUCUGCACCGAGAACUUUGGAUGACCAUCAAGACAGUAAGUUUUCAAAAAUCUGACCUCAAUUUUACUAACCAUUUAAAGAUUGUUUUUCUUUUAGUUGAUUUAAAUAAUACCCUAAAGUCCUCCGUUCAUCUUCGGAAACACUGUUUAAGAAAUUUUAGAUGUAGUCCGAGAGCUUGCUGACCCUCCAUUAAAAAUGUUUGUACGAUAUACUGUUCAUGUCCAGUUAGGUAAUAAAAACAUCAUCAAAGUAGUUCAUGUGACAUCAGUGGGUCAGUUAGAAUUUGUUGAAGCAUCAAAAAUACAUUUAGGUCCAAAAAUAACGACUUAAUUCGGCAUUGUCUUCUCUUUCAGGUCUGUUGUGAACCGUGUGCAUGACACUGCUGCCGUACGACGCUGCUGGCGUGUUAUCUGGUGCACCCAAGCUUUUUUUUCGUUUACAGUCUGAGGGAGACGCUGUAAACAAAAUCUUCGCAAACAAUCUUCGCAAACAAAAUCUUCGCAAACAUUUCUGAGGAUAACACGUCAGCAGCGCCAUUGUGCACGCGCAUUCGCAACAGACCCGGAAGAGAAGACAAUGAUGAAUAAAUAGUUAUUUUUGGACCAAAAUGUAUUAAUGAUGCUUCAACAAAUUCUAACUGACCCACUGAUGUCACAUGAACUACUUUGAUGAUGUUUUAAUUAACUUUCUGGAAAUUAGACAGUAUACAGCACAUACAUUUUUUGGAGGGUCAGAAAGCUCUCGGACUAAAUCUAAAACAUCUUACACUGUGUUCCGAAGAUGAACGGAGGUCUUACAAGUUUGGAACAACAUGAGGGUGAGUCAUUAAUUACAUUAUUUUCAUUUUUGAGUGAACUAUCCCUUUAAAUGGAAAACACCACCGCUUUCCAAAAUGUUACUAUGUUUUUACCUUAGACGAAUUAAUACAUACCCAUCUUUUUUCAAUGCGUGCACUUAAUCUUUGUACAGCGUGUUGUGAAUGUGUUAGCAUUUAGCCUAGCCCCAUUCAUUCCUUAGGAUCCAAACAGGGAUGAAUUUAGAAGCCACCCAACCCUUUCAUGUUUUCCCUAUUUAAAGACUGUUACAUAAGUAGUUACACGAGUAAGUAUGGUGGCACAAAAUAAAACGUGGCAAUUUUAAGCGGUUAAAAAUGAGAACUAUAUUGUAUGGCAAAAGAGCACUAAGUUUGCAGCACUUCGACCUCGGCGCACAGUAACAUCAUCACUCCUGAUUACUCCACCUCUCGCUCAAACUCAAAAGAGGUGGAGUAGUCAGGAGUGAUGAUGUUACUGCGCUCUGAAAAAUGAAUGGGGCUAGGCUAAAUGCUAACACAUUCACGACACGCUGUACAAAUAUUAAGUGCAUGCAUUGAUAAAAGAUAGGGAUGUAUUAAUUUAUCUAAGUUGAGGUAAGAACAUAGUAAAAUAUUGAAAAACUGUGGUGUUUUCCUUUAAAAGCAUCACCCCUAUUUAUUUUGGGUGCUAAAAUAUUUGCCACAGACAGUUUAAGGCCUUAUGCUGCAUUCACACCGCCAACAACCUAGUCACUGUGUCUCAGCCAUUUCUUUUAAUGAGUUUAUCAGAAGGCGUUCCCAAUUCUGGUUGUCCUAGUAAAAACUACAAAUAAAUGAGUAACAAUCCUCUCAGUAAAUGACUAAAGAGUGAUGACACGAACUUCACUGCUUCACUCUCAUUGGUAGUUGCUCCCAAAAGUCCUUCAUCAAGUUAAACUUUCCUCAACGUUGUGGCAUAGCUGGACAUGCCCACUUCCUGUUGUCGAUGGUCACAGUUGCUCAUGUUGCUGAAUGGGGCAAAGCUUCCAUUGGAAUGAACGAGAUUGUGUUGCUAGUCGCUGGCGGUGUACAAGCAGCAUUAGUGUGUGUCUUUAAAAAUAUAUCAAAUGCAAAUUACCUGAUCUAACAUUCCCAGCUACAGAGGGCAUCCUUUAUUCAGUCCCUAAUGCAGAUGGUUGGAGUGUUGAUCCACCUAACAUGAGGGAUAAAAGAGCGUUUGUUAGCAUAAUGAGAAAGAAAACAGAAACACAUUAUUAGUGGCAUUUAAAGACAUAACUUAACACUUGUUUAUACUACAUUUUCUGUUUAAUCCAUAGAGCACUCGUUUUGAGUCCUGAGACCCUGGGGUGACCACCGUGAACAAAUACAGACUGCAAAAAGGCGGUUCUAGGAUGAAUGCAAAUAAAGACUGACCACCUGACUUCAGCGGUCCAGUCUCUUGUGGGAAGCAGCUGUUUGUUACCCCAAAUACGGAUGAAGAGUGACGAAGAGGAUGAUGACUUUUUUCUCAAACAUCAUCUGAAGGAUCUUGACAGGCUGGAGACAAAAUUAACAGACUGAGGGUUUAUACAAAGAAUCUUACUCAGCCAAUAUUAAAGAUAAGAUAUUUUUACAAAA